rnacentral:rRNA from 1 species
AGCAGCCGCGGUAAUUCCAGCUCCAAUAGCGUAUAUUAAAGUUGUUGCAGUUAAAAAGCUCGUAGUUGAAUUUCGGGAUCAAUAUUUCGGUCAUGCCGUUGGUAUGCACUGUUAUCAUUGAUUUCUCACCUUCUAAAGAACCGUAAUGCCAUUAAUUUGGUGUUACGGGGAAUUAGGACUGUUACCUUGAAAAAUUGAGUGUUUAAAGCAGGCUCACGCUUGAAUACAUUAGCAUGGAAUAAUGAAAUAGGACAUCCGAUUCUAUUUUGUUGGUUUCUAGGAUCGAUGUAAUGAUUAAUAGGGAUAGGUUGGGGCAUUAGUAUUCUAAUUGUCAGAGGU